AGAUACCCUGGUAGNCCACGCCGUAAACGAUGAAUGCUAGCUGUUAGCGAUAUACUGUUAGCGGCACAGAGAAAUCGUUAAGCAUUCCACCUGGGGAGUACGCCGGCAACGGUGAAACUCAAAGGAAUUGACGGGGGCCCGCACAAGCGGAGGAACAUGUGGUUUAAUUCGAUGAUACGCGAGGAACCUUACCUGGGCUUAAAUUGCAGUGGAAUAACGUGGAAACAUGUUAGCCUUCGGGCCGCUGUGAAGGUGCUGCAUGGUUGUCGUCAGCUCGUGCCGUGAGGUGUCGGCUUAAGUGCCAUGACGAGCGCAACCCUCAUCGAUAGUUACUAACAGGUUAAGCUGAGGACUCUAUCGAGACUGCCGACGUAAGUCGUGAGGAAGGUGGGGAUGACGUCAAAUCAGCACGGCCCUUACGUCCAGGGCUACACACGUGUUACAAUGGGGGGUACAAAGGGCAGCUACCUGGCGACAGGAUGCUAAUCUCAAAAACCUCUCUCAGUUCGGAUUGGAGUCUGCAACCCGACUCCAUGAAGCUGGAUUCGCUAGUAAUCGCGCAUCAGCCACGGCGCGGUGAAUACGUUCCCGGGCCUUGUACACACCGCCCGUCAAGCCAUGGGAGCCGGGGGGACCUGAAGUAUGCAACCGUAAGGAGCGUCCUAGGGUAAAACUGGUGACUGGGGCU
rnacentral:rRNA from 1 species